rnacentral:tRNA from 1 species
CUGGGGUUGUGGCUCAGUGGUAGAGCACUUGCCUAGAUAGCAUGUAUGAGGCACUGGUUUGAUUCUAGCACUACAUA